rnacentral:sRNA from 1 species
UUUAAGUUAGGGAUUGUAGUGGCAUCCUUUUGCUUUUUUUUAGCAAAAGAUAUAACGGAAAGCCCGCCUACGC